UUUAAGGUAACACCGACGCGCCAAAUAUCGCGAGCGACAUUUCAUUUCUCCAGUUCGUAUUUCUUGUUAGAUUUCAAGUACCGGCGCUUAAACGACUCAUUGUUGUAGAGAUUUAUUCAACUCUCAACACUCGUUCAAUGCAUCUCCCGCCAUAAGUGCAUUUUGCAUAAUAUUGCAAAGAAUGAAAAAAAUUGAAUCGCUUACUAAUUGAGGCUAAAGAAGAAAAGAUUGUUUACUAGAGGAUGUCAAUACGCAUAAAAAUCAUGUUACGCAAAUGAAACAGUGUAGUCUUAACAUGUAAAUAAAAUUUUAUUUUCUUGGGUAUCUCUACACUGAGCUAUAAUGUUCGCACUUAAUGAGACGAUAUUUCAAGAGUACAUCUGUUAGGUUGCAUAAUUUCUGCAGAACAUUCUUGUUACCCGCUGCAAACCACUGUACGUGUUUGAUGAAUGGCUUUCUAUUUUCGCAACGCUAUAUUAAGCAAACACUAUGACCUAUGCCACAUGUCUGUUCCAAUUUGCUACACCUGUUACCCUGAAAAUUGUUGCGUAUAAUCGUACGGCCGAUUAAAAUUUAGCGCGAACGCUAAUGAUCGCCAAGCAGCUUGGAAGAAAAUCGGAACGAAAGCAGGACUCAUUCGGCGCGAUUCAAAUGAUUAAGUACGCGUAUAAUGGAGAGGAAGAGAUGCAUUGAACGAGUGUCGAGGGUCCAGUAAAUCUAUACAACAAUGAAUCGUUUAAGUGCACAUGCACUGGAUGCUAUUCUUGCUUUCGACCGCAAGGACAAAUUCCACAUACCGUGAGGCAUUUAAUGGCCGUAAAUCGAGCAGCAAUGAGUCGACUUACGCUCAUUCAAUGCAUCUGCAUCGGGUGCUGUUUUUGCUCUCCAUUGUAUCGCAGUCACUUUGUUACUGUAAACAAUACCGGUACUUAAAAUUUUUUUUAAACAAAAGAUAUUCGAACUACAAUUGGCGAGAUUGAUUUUCUUAAUAUUUUGUUCUAUCGAGGAUACGUCAGUGAUUGCACUGACGCUCGUCUCGAAGGUGUUUUCAACGCUCUAAUUGUAAGUAAAUUACUCUAUUACUGAAACAAAAACUCGCGUUAUUUACGUAACAAUCGUACGUAUGUCGUACAGAACAGCACGGCACAUAAAUGGAAAGCACGUGAAUCUAGUUAAAAUCUAUGCCAAUCAUCGGCAUCUAAAUUCUCAAUAAAUGUAAAUGCACGGCAUUUGCACGAUGAACUUUGUUGCAUUUUCAUGUACGCGUAGUUUACAUUGCGUGAAAAUGCAUUGAAUUAUUCAUUGCUUUUUGUUUCGGCGCACGCAUAGCGAGCGAACGCGUCGUCCGAAAUUAGCUUAAACAAUGCAAAGUUAAUGUCCACUUCAUAUUAAUAUAUACUUACAUUUAAUUUUAAACACGCUUUCUGUUUCAAAUCCUGCAAAUUCCGGCAAGCAAUACCGAUUUUCCGCGUGCGAGUCACAUCCGUCACUUUGUAGCCUUUGAGCUGAAAUAAAUUUUGCAGUAUUUAGAUUGGAGCGGCAGCAUUAGGCCCACCGGCCAAUAAACUAAGUUGCGCGCAUCGAGGGACAUCGGGUAAUAUUAAAUUAUUUCGGACCACGUAACCGCGUAAUUGCACUCUGCGUCACGUUCAAGGCCAUCGGAUUUCAGAGCUUUACGCGUGUACAAUUUCUUGAAAUGACCCACAUUUUAUAUUCAAUGGCGUCCAGUCGAGGCCACUCGACGCGUCACGUCAAAAUGCAAAUGUCAUGAAUAAUGAAGCCGCUGAUACUAAUAUUCAUCAAAUCCCCUUAUACGCGCUAUCAUAUGUACAUUGUUGAUUAACGACCAAAUGACAGAUUGGAUGCGAACCGUAUGCCGUUAGAUACCAGCAUUCUUGCCUGAAGAUAUUCUUCAGUGAUAAACAUUACAUGUUAACACGUAUUAUUGGUAGAAUAUGUAUAGUUAGUAAUAGUAUUGGUAAAUACAGCAACAGUAUUAGCGGUAGGAAUAAUAAAUAUUUCACUAUACACUGAA